GCUAUUGUCUGUGUUGUAGCUGUUGCAUUUUGUGGGUUCUCCUCCCCCACCCACCCAUUUAAAUGAUCGUGCGAGCGUGGCGUGCCUUAGACCUGGGUUUUACCUGGUUGGUGGCCAGGGCGGGGGACGGAUAAGGUGUAGUCCGUGGCCUCGAGGCAUCGAAGCAGCUGUGGGGCUUUGUGAAGGACAAAAUGGCGAUGGCGGGCAGUGCUCGUGGCCCUCCUAUGAUGAGGACCUUGUCACAGACCUGUACUGAGUUCCGUGAGGAUAAGUAACUCUGAGGAGACGGGCCCUGCACAGCUUUCGACUCGGCCAUUGCUCCAGAAAACAGCGUUUUGCACAUAUCGGGUAUUAACCUUAUGGUGUCUUGGGCUCUUGUCUACAGGGUUCCGGCGCACGUUUGAAUAGAAGAGAGCUCACUCGUGGAAAUGUUUAGCUCAAAGGAGCUUACUGGUGGGAGUAUGAGACAAGAUCCAUCUUUCUGCAAAGCCAGCAUUGAAAUGAUGCUCCAACAUCUCAUAACCCUUCCUGAGGAACUCAACUGCCUGCCAGGGUGAAUACAGAUCAUCCCAAUGAUAGUAUGUCCAUCUAUCUUAGGAUGCAAGCCAAUCUGCCCAGGGUCAAGCUUCUAGGAAGAGUUGAAAGUGGGGCAGCCUGUUCCUGUGUCUAUUGAAAAGCCUUUGAAGUUGAGAGGUACUAUGACCAGUAACCUGCUUGUUGGUUCUAAGGUCCAGCGCCUUGUCUGAAGUACUUGAAAUGAUUUGAGGGAAACUAAGUCAUGUUUCUGCAGAGCUCUACACUGAAAUUAGAGGUCUGAGAAAAGGACAAAACACACACCUGAAUGCUAAACAAGCACUGCCCUUGGGAUAAGCAAUAGGAGCUCAUCCAACACCAGACUUCCUAUACCACAAGCCAUAACUACAGCUUUAAUUGGACAAGAGACUGAUUUCAGUAAUAUUCCUCCUGAGUGGCCACCAACAAUGAGCUGCUGCAUCCUUGAGUGCAUUUGUGCCCCUGCUUCACCGUUUGAGGCAUAGGGCCCCAAUGUGAUAAUUUCAACAUAAGUUUCCACCCCAGAGUGAAUAUGGGUCUUAUGUAGAUAACAUGCAAGGAUAAAGUUCUCCUCCAUUACAUUUGUAGAACUCAUGAUUUUCCACUAAAUAAAUUGGAGACCAUCAGAAAGGGAAUUUGUAAGUCCUUUGUUGUACAACCUAGCUGUCUGAGUAUACUGUCAUGUCUUAGUUUUCACAAUAAAGUUGCUUUUUUAAACAUG